ACGGCCGUACCAUGCUGAAUAUACCGGUUCUCGUUCGAUCACCGAAGUCAAGCAUCAUUGGGCGCGGUCAGUACUUGGGUGGGUGACCACCUGGGAACACCGCGUGCCGUU
rnacentral:rRNA from 1 species